GACGAACGCUGGCGGCGUGCUUAACACAUGCAAGUCGAACGGAAAGGCCCUGCUUUUGUGGGGUGCUCGAGUGGCGAACGGGUGAGUAACACGUGAGUAACCUGCCCUUGACUUUGGGAUAACUUCAGGAAACUGGGGCUAAUACCGGAUAGGAGCUCCUGCUGCAUGGUGGGGGUUGGAAAGUUUCGGCGGUUGGGGAUGGACUCGCGGCUUAUCAGCUUGUUGGUGGGGUAGUGGCUUACCAAGGCUUUGACGGGUAGCCGGCCUGGGAGGGUGACCGGCCACAUUGGGACUGGGAUACGGCCCAGACUCAUACGGGAGGCAGCAGUGGGGAAUAUUGCACAAUGGGCGGAGGCCUGAUGGAGCAACGCCGCGUGCGGGAUGACGGCCUUCGGGUUGUAAACCGCUUUCGCCUGUGACGAAGCGUGAGGGACGGUAAUGGGUAAAGAAGCACCGGCAAACUACGG
rnacentral:rRNA from 1 species